GUUUUGUGUGAGCAACAUGGCUAUUUAUUUCACCUGGGUGCAGGUGGGCUGAGUCCAAAAAGAGAGUCAGCAAAGGGUGGUGGAUUAUCAUUAGUUCUUAUAGGUUUUGGGAUAGGCGGUGAAGUUAAGAGCAAUGCUUUGCAGGCAGGGGUGGAUCUCACAAAGUACAUUCUCAAGGGUGGGGAGAAUUACAAAGAACCUUCUUAAGGGUGGGGGAGAUUACAAAGUACAUUGAUCAGUUAGGGUGGGGCAGAAACAAAUCACAAUGGUGAAAUGUCAUCAGUUAACGCUAUUUUUACUUCUUUUGUGGAUCUUCAGUUACUUCAGGACAUCUGGAUGUAUACGUGCAAGUCACAGGGGAUGCGAUGGCUUGGCUUGGGCUCAGAGGCCUGACAUUCCUGCCUUCUUAUAUUAAUAAGAAAAAUAAAACAAAAUAGUGUUGAAGUCUUGGGGCGGCGAAAAUUUUGGGGGGGUUGUAUGGUGAGAGAAUGGGCGAUGUUUCUCAGGGCUGCUUCAAGCGGGAUUAGGGGCAGUGUGGGAACCUAGAGUGGGAGAGAUUAAGCUGAAGGGAGGUCUUGUGGUAAGGGGUGAUAUUGUGGGGGAUGUUAGAAGAAACAUUUGUCGUAUAGAACGAUUGGUGAUGGCCUGCAUAUGGUUUUAUAUGAAUUGAAAAACUAGAUGGAAUAAGAGAAGGAGAAAAACAGGUAUAAAAGUUCUAAGAAUUGGGAGGACCUAGGACAUCUAAUUAGAGAGUGCCUAAGGAGGUUCAGCAUAGUCCUGCCAGCAAAGAUUAUUUAUUUACUUCAAGAGUUAAGAGUGGCAGUUUGGGGAUAGCACCAGGAGAUAUCAGCUGUGAUGGCUUGGAGAAACAGUGUAAACCGGCAGUGUAAACAAGAGCAGGGCAUGUAUGAGUAGGUGAGAAUGGUGAAUAGGAGUAUGACUAGACAGAAGAUAGUAGGGAUGACAAGUUUUUUGGGGGCACAGUCUAAGUCGGUCUGGUGUCUGGAAUGAGACUGGGGCCUAAUAAAAAGGAGCGUCUAUACAGAAGCUUAAAUGGGCUGUACCUGGUAGCAUUCUGAGGACAGGUCUGACUUCUGAGAAGGGAAAGUGGUAACAGUAUUGUCCAGUCCUUUUUAAGUUGGUGGCUGAGCUUGGUGAGGUGUGUUUUUAAAAGACCUUUAGUCCAUUCUACUUUUCUUGAAGACGGAGGACCGUGAGGGAUAUAAAGGUUUCACUGAAUACUAAGAGCCUGAAAAACUGCUUGGCUGAUUUGACUAAUAAAGGCUGGUCUAUUAUCAGACUGUAUAGAGGUGGGAAGGCUAAACUGAGGAAUUAUGUCUGACAGAAGGGAAGAAAUGACUGCGGUGGCCUUCUCAGACCCUGUAGGAAAGGCCUGUAUUUAUCUAGUGAAAGUGUGUACUUAGACUAAGAGGUAUUUUAAUUAUCUGACUCGGGGCAUGUUGAGUAAAGCUAAUUUGCCAGUCCUGGGUGGGGGCAAAUCUUCAAGCUUGAUGUGUAGGGAAGGGAGGGGGCCUGAAUAAUCCCUGAGGAGUAGUAGAAUAGCAGAUGGAACACUGAGAAGUUAUUUCCUUGAGGAUAGAUUUCCACGAUGGAAAGGAAAUGAGAGGUUCUAAGAGGUGGGCUACUGGCUUGUGCUAUAGCACAGCCUGCCUUUGCUGGUGUGUGGUGAUUAGGCCUGGUGGAACUGCCAUCAAUAAAUCAAGCGUGAUCAGGGUGAGGAACAGGAAAGAAGGAAAUAUGGAGAAAUGGGGUGAAUGUCAGGUGGAUCAGAGAGAUACAGUCAUGGGGGUCAGGCGUGGUAUCAGGAAUAAUGUGGGAGGCCAGACUGAAGUCCGGGCCAGGAACAAUGAUAAUUGUGGGACUUAACAAAGAGUGAGUACAGCUGAAGGAGCUGGGAAGCAGAAAGUAUAUGCGUCAAGUAUGAGGAAGAAAAUAGAUUUUGGAAGUUAUGAGAACUGUAGAGAGUGAGUUGAGCAUAGUUUGUGAUUUUUAGGGCCUCCAAAAGUAUUAAAGCAGUGGCAGCCACUGCACACAGACAUGAGGGCUAGGAUAAAACAGUAAGGUCAAGUUGUUUGGACAGAAAGGCUACAGGGUGCGGUCCUGGCUUUUGUUUAAGAAUUCUGACCGCACUAACUAUGCCUAGGAAGGAAAGGAGUUGUUGUUUUGUAAGGGAAUGAGGUUUGGAAGAUUAAUCGGACAUGAUCAGCAGGGAGAGCACGUGUGUUUUUAUGAGAAUUAUGCCGAGAUAGGUAACAGAUGAGGAUGAAAUUUGGGCUUGAUUGAAGUAAUGGGGGCUGUCUGUGAAGCUUUGUGGCAGUCCAGCCCAGGUAAUUUGCAGAGCCUAAUGGGUGUUAGGGUCAGUCUAAGUGAAAGCGAAGAGAGGCUGGGAUGAAGGGUGCAAAGGAAUAGUAAAGAAAGCAUGUUUGAGAUCCAGAACAGAAUAAUGGGUAGUAGAGGCAGGUAUUGAGGAUAGGAGAGUAUAUGGGUUUGGCACCACGGGGUGGAUAGGCAAAACAAUUUGGUUGAUAAGGCGCAGAUUCUGAACUAACUUGUAAGGCUUGUCUGGUUUUAGGACAGGUAAAAUGGUGGAAUUGUAAGGGGAGUUUACAGGCUUUAAAAGGCCAUGCUGUAGCAGGCAAGUGAUAACAGGCUUUAAUCCUUUUAAAGCGUUCUAUGGGAUGGGAUCUUGACAUUGAGUGGGGUAAGGGUGAUUAGGUUUUAAUGAGAUGGUAAGGGUUACAUGAUCCGUCGCCAAGGAGGGAGUAGAGGUAUCUUAUACUUGUGGGUUCAGGUGGGGGGAUACAAGAGGAGGACGCAAAGGAGGCUUUGAAUUGGGAAGAAGGGCGGCAAUGAGAUGUAGCUGUAGUCCAGGAAUAAUCAGGGAAGCAGAUAAUUUAGUUAAAGUGCCUCAGCCUAAUGAGGGAACUGGGCAGGUGGGGAUAAUUAAAAAGGAGUGCUUAAAAGAGUAUUGUCUAAGUUGGCACCAGAGUUGGGGAGUUUUAAGAGGUUUAGAAGCCUGGCUGUUAAUACCCACAACAAUUAUGGAGGCAAGGGAAACAGGCCCUUAAAAAGAAGGUAAUGUGGAGUGGGUAGCCUCCGUAUUGAUUAAGAAGGGAACGGACUUAGCUUCCACUGUGAGAGUUACCCGAAGCUCGGCGUCCGUGAUGGUUUAGGGGGCUUCCGAGGCAAUCAGGCGGUGUCAAUCUUCAGCCGCUAAGCCCAGAAGAUCUGGGAAGGAGUCAGUCAGAGAGCCUUGGGCCAGAGUUCCAGGGGCUCUGGGAGUGGCUGCCAGGUGAGUUGAACAGUCUGAUUUCCAGUGGGGUCCCGCACAGAUGGGACACAGCUUAGGAGGAAUCCCGGGCUGCGGGCAUUCCUUGGCCCAGUGGCCAGAUUUCCGGCACAUGUAGCAAGCUCCUGGGGGAGGAGGUUCUGGAGGAAUGCCUGGCUGCUGCAGUUCAGGUGUUUGGAAGUUCUUGUGUGCUGGAGAUGUGGCUGGGGUUUGUCUCACAGUGGAGGCAAGGAAUUGCAACUUUUUUCUGUUAUUGUACACCUUGAAGGUGAGGUUAAUUAAGUCCGGUUGUGGGGUUUGAGGGCCAGAUUCCAAUUUAUGGAGUUUUAUUUAAUGUCAGGAGCAGAUUGGGUAAUAAAAUGUAUAUUAAGAAUAAGACGGCCUUUUGACCUUUUAGGGUCUGGGGCUGUAAAGCGUCGCAGGGUUGCUGCCGAAUGAGACAUGAACUGGGCUAGAUUUUUAUAUUUGAUGAAAAAGAGCCUAAACGCUAUCUUAUUUGGGAAAAAGAAAAAGGAGCAUUAACCUUGACUAUGCCUUUAGCUCCAGCCACCUUUUUAAGAAUAAAUUGCUGGGCAGGUGGGGGAGGGCUAGUCACGGAAGGAAACUGUAAGCCGGACAGGGUGUGAGAAGGGGAGGUGAUAAAAGGAUUAUAGGGUGGAGGAGCAGAGGCUGAGGAAGAAUUGGGACCUGGCUUGGCCUGGCGAGGAGGGGAGAGAUCAGAUGGUGCCGGUGAAAAAAGUCAGGCUCUGGAUACAGCAAUGUAAUCUUUAACCUCUAAGGCUCUAAGCUUCAUUGCAAAAUGGGGAUAAUGGUGGCACCGACCUCAAAGUGCUCUGAAGAUUGAAUAGGAGAAACAUAUAAAGGACUCAGCUUUGUGCCAGGCCCAUAGAGAGCCAUCAGCAACCAUUGGCCUUCAUGAUGCUGAGAAUGUUAAAGCAACCUAAAUAUGGCCUGAGAAGGACUCUGUACUUCUGUAUUUGAGUCCUGGUGGAUGAACUGUAACCUAGCUUAAUAGGCAGACAAAAUUGAAAAGCUAACUUAGUGGUAUGCUGUAACAAUAGCUAUGUCUUGGCCAAUCCCAGUGGCCAUACUUCAAUUCAUACACUGCUGAGCAUUCAAACUGUGUUCAAAUAAGGCAUACACCGAGCUGUAAACAACGCAGCCAUUCUGUACUUCACUUCCAAUUUCUGUAUGUCAUUUCCCUUUUUCUUGUCUAUAAAUCUUCUUCCACCAUGUGACUACGCUGGAGCCUCUGUGAAUCUGCUGAUUCUGGGGGCUGCCCAAUUCACAAAUCGUUCAUUGCUCAAAUUAAACUCCUUUAAAUUUAAUUUGGCUGAAAUUCUUCUUUCAUCAAGAAUUAAUGUGGUCCUUGCUCUACCAGUUACUACACAUUCAAAGUUUGUAAAAUACUUUCAGCUUUUGUCAGGUUAAAA
rnacentral:lncRNA from 1 species